rnacentral:misc_RNA from 1 species
GCAAACUUGGUCAUUUAGAGGAAGUAAAAGUCGUAACAAGGUUUUCGUAGGUGAACCUGCGGAAGGAUCAUUAACGAGUUGCACUCCUUUUGGAGCCAUCUCCACCCUUGCGUACCGACCGUUGCUUUGGCGGGCCGGGCUUUCCCGCCGGCCAGCUGGCGAGCGCCCGCCAAAGACUUUACACUCGUUUACAAGCGUCUGAGCGAGAUGAAUGCAAAAAACUUUCAACAACGGAUCUCUUGGUUCUGGCAUCGAUGAAGAACGCAGC